UACAGAGGGUGCAAGCGUUGUUCGGAAUUACUGGGCGUAAAGCGCGUGUAGGCGGCCCGGUAAGUCGGAUGUGAAAGCCCUGGGCUUAACCUAGGAAGUGCAUUCGAAACUGCUGGGCUUGAGUUCUGGAGAGGAAGGCGGAAUUCUCGGUGUAGAGGUGAAAUUCGUAGAUAUCGAGAGGAACACCGGUGGCGAAGGCGGCCUUCUGGACAGUGACUGACGCUGAGACGCGAAAGCGUGGGGAGCAAACAGG
rnacentral:rRNA from 1 species